rnacentral:misc_RNA from 1 species
AAGUCGUAACAAGGUAACCGUAGGUGAACCUGCGGUUGGAUCAUUAAUGAAGGCUUUAUGCCAAACCAGCUUUUUUAAGCUGACCCCACCUUGUGUGAACCGUUAAAAUGUUUUUAGGCGGAGAGGGUUUUAAAAGAGAGGUUUGUUUUUUUUUCUCUCCUUAAGUGGUUUGAGAAUGAAUAUACUUGAUUCUUUUUUAACCCAAAGUCUUUAAAUAGAUAGAUCUCCGCCUACUGCUAUUUUCUUGAAAAAGAAGAUGGCAAAACAAAAAACAAACCUUUUAUUGUCUUUCAAAUUAUAAAUCUAAAACCAAUUUUUUUACAUUCUAAAAAUAAAAUUUCGAAUGAAAAAACAACUUUUGACAACGGAUCUCUUGGCUCUC